rnacentral:rRNA from 1 species
UACAGAGGUCUCAAGCGUUGUUCGGAUUCAUUGGGCGUAAAGGGUGCGUAGGCGGCGCGGUAAGUCGGGUGUGAAAUCUCGGGGCUUAACUCCGAAACUGCAUUCGAUACUGCCGUGCUUGAGGACUGGAGAGGAGACUGGAAUUUACGGUGUAGCGGUGAAAUGCGUAGAUAUCGUAAGGAACGCCAGUGGCGAAAGCGAGUCUCUGGGCAGCAUCUGACACUGAGGCACGAAGGCCAGGGGAGCAAACGGG